AUUGAACGCUGGCGGCAUGCUUUACACAUGCAAGUCGAACGGCAGCGCGGGCUUCGGCCUGGCGGCGAGUGGCGAACGGGUGAGUAAUGCAUCGGAACGUGCCCAGUAGUGGGGGAUAGCCCGGCGAAAGCCGGAUUAAUACCGCAUACGACCUGAGGGUGAAAGCGGGGGACCGAAAGGCCUCGCGCUAUUGGAGCGGCCGAUGUCGGAUUAGCUAGUUGGUGGGGUAAAGGCUUACCAAGGCGACGAUCCGUAGCUGGUCUGAGAGGACGACCAGCCGCACUGGGACUGAGACACGGCCCAGACUCCUACGGGAGGCAGCAGUGGGGAAUUUUGGACAAUGGGGGCAACCCUAAUCCAGCCAUGCCGCGUGCGGGAAGAAGGCCUUCGGGUUGUAAACCGCUUUUGUUCGGGAAGAAAUCCUCUGGGCUAAUACCCCGGGGGGAUGACGGUACCGGAAGAAUAAGCACCGGCUAACUACGUG
rnacentral:rRNA from 1 species